GUACACGCUGUGACUAGCAUAUCAAUAAGCGGAGGAAAAGAAACUAACAAGGAUUCCCCUAGUAACGGCGAGUGAAGCGGGAAGAGCUCAAAUUUGAAAUCUUAAAGGGUUUCCCUUUACGAAUUGUAGUUUAAAGAAGUGUUUUCUGUUGAGGUUUUGGUAAAAGUUCUUUGGAAUAGGACAUCAUAGAGGGUGAGAAUCCCGUAUUUGACCUUUACUUUCAACUUUGUGAUACACUUUCAAAGAGUCGGAUUGUUUGGGAAUGCAGUCCAAAAUGGGUGGUAAAUUUCAUCUAAAGCUAAAUAUUGGCGAGAGACCGAUAGCGAACAAGUACCGUGAGGGAAAGAUGAAAAGAACUUUGAAAAGAGAGUUAAACAGUACGUGAAAUUGUCAAAAGGGAAGCGUUUGACACCAGUGUUGUUUUUCUGAAAGUCAAUUAAAGAACUGUUUAUGCUAAGUUGUUUAGACUUUAUCAGCUAACUGUUUAGUUUUGAGCUUUUCUUUAAUGCACUUUUCAGUUAACAAGUCAACAUCAAUUUCUUUUGCUGUAAAAAAGCUUGAGGAAGGUGGCUUGAGAUUCGUCUUAAGUGUUUAUAGCCUCUUGCCUAUGCAGUCGGAGAGAUUGAGGUCUGCAGCGUAGAUCCUUCGGGGCUAAAUGCAUUUGUGCUAAGUUAUAGCAUUUAGUAGACAACUUGUUGACUAUGAUUUGUCUUGUAGCUUACUCGCUUAUGUUAUUUUACCUACGCUUAGGAUGUUGAGUCGUAGAGCACGCAG
rnacentral:rRNA from 1 species